UUUUUUUAAUUUUUAAUAUAGCAAUUUUAAAACUUUGAACACCACAAUAAUAAAAUUAGAUUAUUGAGUUAUCUUUUUAUAAUGAAGUAUGUGAGUGAAAACGUUAGCUGUAUAAGUCACAUUCAUUGAUUCAGUGUGCAAAUAUGUAAUUGUACAACUUAUUGCUUGUGGAAUUGACUUGAGUAAAGAUUAUGAUGCAAUUUCAAAUUAAAUACUUCUUGUAGCAAACGCCCUGUUGUUUGGAGGACCACGUACACGUGUGACUCAUCAAUCGAGAGAUCACGUGAUACUUUGUAGACCAACCGGCGCGACGAUGAGAACGAUAACCUGUACUCCUUGAAAGACUUAAGGAGUAAAAUAUACUGCCUCCAGUGGUAUUUGACCAAUUUUUUAUUGACAGUUCUGGAUAUUAUAUCUAAACCGAAAGUAAGAAUAAAUAC